rnacentral:rRNA from 1 species
CCUACGGGUGGCAGCAGUGGGGAAUAUUGCACAAUGGGGGGAACCCUGAUGCAGCAACGCCGCGUGGGUGAAGAAGUACUCCGGUAUGUAAAGCCCUGUCAGCAGGGAAGAAAAUGACGGUACCUGAGUAAGAAGCCCCGGCUAACUACGUGCCAGCAGCCGCGGUAACACGUAGGGGGCAAGCGUUAUCCGGAUUUACUGGGUGUAAAGGGAGCGUAGACGGCAGUGCAAGUCUGGAGUGAAAGGCGGGGGCUCAACCCCCGGACUGCUCUGGAAACUGUACGGCUGGAGUGCAGGAGAGGUAAGUGGAAUUCCUAGUGUAGCGGUGAAAUGCGUAGAUAUUAGGAGGAACACCAGUGGCGAAGGCGGCUUACUGGACUGUAACUGACGUUGAGGCUCGAAAGCGUGGGGAGCAAACAGGAUUAGAUACCCCUGUAGUC